rnacentral:rRNA from 1 species
GAUGAACGCUGGCGGCGUGCCUAAUACAUGCAAGUCGAGCGAACAGACGAGGAGCUUGCUCCUCUGACGUUAGCGGCGGACGGGUGAGUAACACGUGUAUAACCUACCUAUAAGACUGGGAUAACUUCGGGAAACCGGAGCUAAUACCGGAGAAUAUAUUGAACCGCAUGGUUCAAUAGUGAGAGACGGUUUUGCGGGCACUUAUAGCGGGAUCCGCGCCGCAUUAGCUAGUUGGUAGGGUAACGGCUUACCAAGGCAACGAGGCGUAGCCGACCGGUGAGAGUGAUCGGCGACCCUGGAACUGGGCCACGGUCCAGAGUCCUACGGGACGGCGCAGUCGCGAAUCUUACGCAACGGGCGGAAGCCUUACGGAGUGACGCCACGUGAGUGACGAAGGUCUUCGGUUCGUAAAACUCUGUUAUUAGGGAAGAACAACUGUCUACGUAAAUGUGCACGUAUUGACGGUACCUAAUCAGAAAGCCCCGGCUAACUACGUG